GAUGAACGCUGGCGGCGUGCCUAAUACAUGCAAGUCGAGCGAACAGACGAGGAGUUUGCUCCUCUGACGUUAGCGGCGGACGGGUGAGUAACACGUGGAUAACCUACCUAUAAGACUGGGAUAACUUCGGGAAACCGGAGCUAAUACCGGAUAAUAUAUUGAACCGCAUGGUUCAAUAGUGAAAGACGGUUUUGCUGUCACUUAUAGAUGGAUCCGCGCCGCGUUAGCUAGUUGGUAAGGUAAAGGCUUACCAAGGCGACGAUGCGUAGCCGACCUGAGAGGGUGAUCGGCCACGCUGGAACUGAGGCACGGACCAGACUCCUACGGGAGGCCGCAGUAGGGAAGCUUCCGGAAUGGGCGAAAGCCUGACGGAGCAACGCCGCGUGAGUGAUGGAGGUCUUCGGAUCGUUAAACGCUGUUAUUAGGGAAGAACAAAUGUGUAAGUACCUAUGCUCGUCUUGACGGUACCUAAUCAGAAAGCCACGGCUAACUACGUG
rnacentral:rRNA from 1 species